rnacentral:rRNA from 1 species
CAUUCUUCUCCCUGUCUGUGCGCCGCCGCUCUCUCGUCUCGCCCCUCCCUCUCAGGUGCGCCGCCGCUCUCUCGUCUCGCCCCUCCCUCUCCGGUGCGCCGCUAUUCCCUCGUCGCCCCUUCCUCUCCGCACAAAAAGGGAAGAAAAUUGGGGUGCUAGGAAGAAGAGGAGCACGUGCGGACGGCGAGCAGCUGCGUGGCUGCUGUUGCAGCUGGGUUACAACACCGAUGGAUGAAAUGCUGCUGAGACGUUACAAGAUAUUCCAGCAGAGGCAUCCUUACCGUCCGCAUUACAAGGAUAUGAGAACAUUGGGGUCCUGAAGGCAGUGACCUGUUUACCAUACAUGUAUUUACUUCCUUUCUAGGGCGGAACAAUGGAAGGCACAAUUCCAAGUACAGCUCUUCAAGAACAGUUCUCUGAAGGAACAACAAUUUACAAGCUUGGCGCUUACCAGGUUCAAUAUGCUAGGGAAAGAUACAAAACUGUAGAUCGUCCAUGGAGAGUAGUGUUUGCCCAAAAAACUACCGUGGAACCAAUUGUGCCUCAGCCACCAAACUUUCCCAAUUAUGGAUAUACCACCUACAAUGUACACAGUAUCAAAGCCGCAUUAAACAAAUCAUUUUGUUGUCAG